rnacentral:rRNA from 1 species
AGCGAACAGAUGGGAGCUUGUUCCCUGAAGUCAGCGGCGGACGGGUGAGUAACACGUGGGCAACCUGCCUGUAAGACUGGGAUAACUCCGGGAAACCGGGGCUAAUACCGGAUAAUUCUUUCCCUCACAUGAGGGAAAGCUGAAAGAUGGUUUCGGCUAUCACUUACAGAUGGGCCCGCGGCGCAUUAGCUAGUUGGUGAGGUAACGGCUCACCAAGGCAACGAUGCGUAGCCGACCUGAGAGGGUGAUCGGCCACACUGGGACUGAGACACGGCCCAGACUCCUACGGGAGGCAGCAGUAGGGAAUCUUCCGCAAUGGACGAAAGUCUGACGGAGCAACGCCGCGUGAGUGAUGAAGGUUUUCGGAUCGUAAAACUCUGUUGUUAGGGAAGAACAAGUACCGGAGUAACUGCCGGUACCUUGACGGUACCUAACCAGAAAGCCACGGCUAACUACGUGCCAGCAGCCGCGGUAAUACGUAGGUGGCAAGCGUUGUCCGGAAUUAUUGGGCGUAAAGCGCGCGCAGGCGGUUCCUUAAGUCUGAUGUGAAAGCCCCCGGCUCAACCGGGGAGGGUCAUUGGAAACUGGGGAACUUGAGUGCAGAAGAGAAGAGUGGAAWUUCCACGUGUAGCGGUGAAUGCGUAGAGAUGUGGAGGAACACAGUGGCGAAAGCGACUCUUUGGUCUGUACUGACGCUGARGCGCGAAAGCGUGGGGAGCAAACAGGAUUAGA